rnacentral:rRNA from 1 species
AUUGAACGCUGGCGGCAGGCCUAACACAUGCAAGUCGAGCGGAUGAGUGGAGCUUGCUCCAUGAUUCAGCGGCGGACGGGUGAGUAAUGCCUAGGAAUCUGCCUGGUAGUGGGGGACAACGUUUCGAAAGGAACGCUAAUACCGCAUACGUCCUACGGGAGAAAGCAGGGGGACCUUCGGGCCUUGCGCUAUCAGAUGAGCCUAGGUCGGAUUAGCUAGUAGGUGAGGUAAUGGCUCACCUAGGCGACGAUCCGUAACUGGUCUGAGAGGAUGAUCAGUCACACUGGAACUGAGACACGGUCCAGACUCCUACGGGAGGCAGCAGUGGGGAAUAUUGGACAAUGGGCGAAAGCCUGAUCCAGCCAUGCCGCGUGUGUGAA